UACAGAGGGUGCGAGCGUUGUUCGGAAUUACUGGGCGUAAAGAGUGUGUAGGCGGUGUUCCCAGUCUGUUGUGAAAUCUCCCGGCUUAACUGGGAGGGUGCAGCGGAAACUAGAAUGCUAGAGGGUGGGAGAGGUAAGCGGAAUUCCUGGUGUAGCGGUGAAAUGCGUAGAUAUCGGGAGGAACACCAGUGGCGAAGGCGACUUCCUGGCCUGUUCUUGACGCUGAGGCGCGAAAGCUAGGGGAGCAAACGGG
rnacentral:rRNA from 1 species